rnacentral:rRNA from 1 species
GCUUUUCUAUUGGUACGGCAUCGCUCUGGGAGACGGAAACCGGGCAUUCAAGGACUAUUACUAUUGCACAGAACACAUGUCAAUUAGGUAGAUGGUGGAGAAAAGCCCUCCAUGCCAACUAUCGAAAACUGGUAUGAAAGGAUGAUCAGCCACGCUGGGACUGAGACUCGGCCCAGACUCCUCCGGGAGGCAGCACGUGGGGAAUUUUGGACAAUGGAGGAGACCCCGCACCAGCCAUGCCUCGUGUAUGAAGUAGGCCGUCAGGUUGUAAAGGACUUUUGUUAGAGAUGACGUCAUUGGGAUAGGAGACUUUUUGAUGACGGGAGUCAAGGGCAGCACCUACUAACUCCGUCCAUAGCCGCAUAAUAGGUAUUGGAAGAGCUUAAUCCGAUAAAUGUGAGUCAACGAAGGCAGACCGUGAGUAAGCAAGAAUUGGAAUCCCAAAAACAACCUAAGAGUUGCAUUCUGGGGAUGGGUAGAAAGAUUACUCCUCACGCGGGAGAAUUCAGGGGCGUAACAGUGAAAUUCGUAUAGACAUGAGGAAUACAGCAGGCGAUGGCAGCCCCUCGGAUUUUACUGACUUUCAUGUUGGAAAGCGCCUGUGGCAAACAGG